UCCUUGUUCAUGAGGACGUUUCUAGCCAGC
rnacentral:piRNA from 1 species